AUACAAAUCAUCUGGGUAGUCUUGUCAAAAUGCAGAUUUUGAUUCAUUCGCUCUCAGGUAUGAUCUGAGAUUCUGCGUUUCUGAUAAGCUCCCAGGUGAUGCUAAU
rnacentral:pre_miRNA from 1 species